rnacentral:snoRNA from 1 species
CUCUUGGUGGGGACCAGCUGUGCAGCUCUUCUGGUCAUGUACAGGGAAGGGCUCUCGCCCCCUUGUGGACAUGUCAUUGAUGUUGGGAGCUUUCUGUCCACAGAUUUGAUUUCCAAGCAGCAAGACACAU